rnacentral:rRNA from 1 species
AUGUUUGCCUUUCCAUAUUGGUGUGCAGUUAUUCGCAUUGAGGCUAAAAGCGAGCAGUUGGAAAUGUACAUGCAAUUAGAUGUCGCUACUGAUGUCUACCCAAUGCAUGUUGGUGACAAGUUCACCAUGGUUUUAGCUCCUACACUGAAUCUGGAUGGGACUCCAGACACUGGCUUCUAUACACAGGCUGGUAGGAAAACACUUGCUGACAAGUAUGACUAUGUUAUGCAUGGAAAGCUUUACAAGAUUUCAGAGGACAUUUCCAGUGAAAAAGAAGCUACUAAAGUGUAUGACUUCUCUGAACUCUAG